rnacentral:lncRNA from 1 species
UGUUUGUGUAAAUAUGGUGUGUAUCUUGUCUCUUAGAGUUGUGUCCUAAAUAGAAAAAAAAAAGACAAGAUGAAAAAGAAAAAAAAUACGGAAAAAUGAGAAAGAAAUAAAAAAAAAUUGUGAAAAAGGAGUCAAGAAGAGGAUGAAAUUAGAGGUUUUGGGUGUGGGUAUACUGUGUUUACACUUGUUCCCCAUUGCUCCUCUAUUUCCUUUGGUUUAUAGCUUCUCACCCAUAUUUAUCCUCCC